UGCCUGACGGUACUGGUAGGAAUAAGACACCGGACUAACUCCGUCGCCAGCAGCCGACGGUAAGUACGGGAGGGUGCGAGCGUUAAGUACGGUAAUUACGUGGGACGUAAAGCGCAUGCAGGGCGGCCGUGUUAAGUCAGAUGUAGAAACGGCCCGGGGACUUAACCGUACGGUAAGUUGCUAUUUAGUAAACGUGGCGAGGCUAGAGUCUUGUAGAGGGGGGUAGGAAUUUCAGGUGUAGCGGUGAAAUGCGUAGAGAUCUGAAGGAAUACCAGUGGCGAAGGCGGCCCCCUGGACAAAGACUGACGCUCAGAUGCGAAAGCGUGGGGAGCAAACAGGAUUAGAUACCCUGGUAG
rnacentral:rRNA from 1 species